GGGCCAGUCUGCGCCACACUGGAGGUGCACCUUCUUCCUAACUUCAGCAAGUUUCUGUGGUUAUAAAACGUCACUCUAAUGAUUCUGGGAGAAAUAUAUCCAGACAGUUAUGCAGACAGCAGGAACCUCACAUCUCCACUAUAGAGCCUCUACUUCCCCCAGUCCUGGAACCAUUGGAUAGGGCCCACUUUCCCGUAUGCCUCUCCUAAUCCAUAUCAAAUAAUAUUGCAUCCACUGAUCACGACGUAACCAACACAACGAUUGCCACCUCAGUCGUUGCUUCACUUCAGACUGUGUCCAGAGACUUCACGUGUGGAAUGACAACCCUUCAGCUUCAUUACUCAGGUGAGACCUUUCUUUUCAUAGUAUACUCUAAUUCCAUCUCAGGUGGUUCACUUUCUAACAAAGUCCCAAAACCUAGAUAUACACCAGUUUCUGUGAGAGAGAGCAUAUGUUUACACGUAUCUGUAAACUACAGCAAAAUAUAUACCUGAAAGCAGAAGUACACUAGAGUUUGCAGUGAGUACCCCCCUAACACUUCCUCUCCACUAUUCCAAGCUUUGGGUCCAUGAUUGCUCAACAAUUUGUUUGGCUUUGUAUGUUAACUCUCUUUUCAGUCACCAGGUUCCAGAUGUCAUCAGGAUGCCGGCCAGGCUUCCCUGGACUGAAGGCCCCACCAAUGUGUCCUGGAGCUCCGCUUCCCCAGAGACACACCCUACUAGGGAAAGAGAGAGGCAGACUGGGAGUAUGGACCGACCAGUCAACGCCCAUGUUCAGUGGGGAAGCAAUUACAGAAGCCAGACCUUCUACCUUCUGCAACCCAUAGUGACCCUGGGUCCAUGCUCCCAGUGGGAUAGAGAAUGGGAAAGCUAUCAGGGGAGGGGGUGUGAUAUGGAGACUGGGUGGUGGGAAUUGUGUGGAAUUGUACCCCUCCUAACCUAUGGUUUUUUUAAUUAAUCCUUUCUUAAAUAAAAAAUUUUAAAAAAUAAAUAAAUAAAUAAAUAAAAAAUAAAUUAAUCAAUUAAAAAACUCUCCUUUCACUGCUCUUUUAUUACAGCUCUUUUUCUUAUCUUUUUUCUUUUCUCUCUCUUGUUUCUCUUUUUUUUUAUCUUGUCUUCCAUUUCUUCAUUCCUUCUACUUUGUCUUUCUGAAUUCACUGAUAUUCAUUUGUGAAUUAUUUUGGGGAAGAAAUCUGACUCAGAGUGGAAUCUCUUUGUGUGUAUCUCUGCUCUACU